GCUCAUCAUCCAUCGAGUGCCAAACUUGAUUUUGAAUUUUUAUUCUCACAAUACCAACAUCAAGGAGAGCACAUCGUUUUACUGGUUGAACAUGAUAAUUUUCUUUGGUUACAUGUGCAUGAAAAAUUAUACAAUAAUUACAGGAUUAUGUGAAAAAUAAAAAAAAUUAAAAAAUUAAAAGCAAAAAUAAAGAGGGAUAUGUCUCCUAUAGAAUGAAUAAAAUAAUUAAAAGUAAAAUUACAAAACUGAAGAUGGUGGCGUGCCUUUCAAAUAGGAGGAGCAGAGCUUAACAAAUAAAGGAGAAUGGAGCAGAGCUUAAAACUGAAGAUGGUGGCGUGCCUUUCAAAUAGGAGGAGCAUGGAGCAGAGCAUAACAAAUAAAGGAGAAUGGAGCAGAGCUUAACAUAAAAGAGCAUGCAGGAGAAUCAAAAAGUAAAGAACUAAAGAUGCAGGGAGCAAAUAGAAAGGAGAGAUGGAGAGAUGUAGAGAGCAAGGGAGGGGACGGCUGGCUUUGUUUUU
rnacentral:lncRNA from 1 species